rnacentral:rRNA from 1 species
UACGUAGGGUGCGAGCGUUAAUCGGAAUUACUGGGCGUAAAGCGUGCGCAGGCGGUUCUCCAAGUCCGUUGUGAAAGCCCCGGGCUCAACCUGGGAAUGGCAGUGGAAACUAGGGGACUGGAAUCUGGCAGAGGGGGGUGGAAUGCCGCGGUGUAGCAGUGAAAUGCGUAGAUAUCGCUUGGAACGCCGAAGGUGAAAACAGGCUGCUGGGGUUGCGCCGACGCUGGAGACACGAAAGCCAGGGGAGCAAACGGG